AUUGAACGCUGGCGGAAUGCUUUACACAUGCAAGUCGAACGGCAGCACGGGGGCAGCCCUGGUGGCGAGUGGCGAACGGGUGAGUAAUACAUCGGAACGUGCCCGGUCGUGGGGGAUAACGUAGCGAAAGUUACGCUAAUACCGCAUACGAUCUGAGGAUGAAAGCGGGGGACCGUCGGGCCUCGCGCGAUCGGAGCGGCCGAUGUCAGAUUAGGUAGUUGGUGGGGUAAAGGCCUACCAAGCCGACGAUCUGUAGCUGGUCUGAGAGGACGACCAGCCACACUGGGACUGGGACACGGCCCAGACUCCUACGGGAGGCCGCAGUGUGGAAUUUUGGACAAUGGGCGCAAGCCUGAUCCAGCCAUUCCGCGUGCAGGACGAAGGCCUUCGGGUUGUAAACUGCUUUUGUACGGAACGAAAAGGCUCUGGCUAAUACCUGGGGCUCAUGACGGUACCGUAAGAAUAAGCACCGGCUAACUACGUG
rnacentral:rRNA from 1 species